rnacentral:misc_RNA from 1 species
GAAACGGAGACUUUUUCCUAAGGAUGAGAAUUUGAAACUAAUUAAAUUCUAAAAAAUGCCUUUUUUCUGUUAUAAAUAAAUUGCCUCUCCAUGUGCUUUUUGAUUUCUGAAAUGUUUUUGCUUUGGUGAUUUUCAAAUUCUUAUAUCCAUUUUUACUUUUCUUUGAUUACAUACCCAAUUUAUCGAUUAUUUUACUGCAUUUUAUUUAGGGCUUAUUUGGUUUUGUUGUUGGUGACAGGUGACUGACAGCUGAUAGUUUUCACUGUAUCUGGUAGCUAAUGAAUGUUAGUCAUUUGGUAAAAUUUUGUUGGUUGCAUUUGAUAUGUUAAAUGACCAUUGAGAGUAUAAUUUAUUUUGGAAUAAUUGUUAUUCUGCUUCCUGAACCAAAAUCCAAUUGUUCGAUUAUGCCCAAAUUGAAGUUUUU